UAGUAUAUAAAUAAAUAAAUAUGCAAUGUGUAUAAACAGUGUAACUAAAACGCUAUGUAUGGUAGUAGAAAUAUUAGAACGAGAUAAAUGGAGAUUACAGUAUUUAAAUACAAACAGUAUGUACAGCAGUAGCUACAUACGAUGUGUAAACAUGAUUAAAGUGACCAGUGUUCAAUGACUCUAUGUACUUAGGGCAGCAGCCUCUAAGUUGCAGGGUUGUGUACCGGGUGGUAGCCGGCUAGCAACAGGGUCUAAGGUGCAGGGUUGUGUACCGGGUGGUAGCCGGCUAGCAACAGUGUCUAAGGUGCAGGGCAGGGUACCGGGUGGUAGCUGGCUAGCAACAGUGUCUAAGGUGCAGGGCAGGGUACCGGAUGGUAGCCGGCUAGCAACAGUGUCUAAGGUGCAGGGCAGGGUACCGGGUGGGGCCGGCUAGCAACAGUGUCUAAGGUGCAGGGCAGGGUACUGGGUGGGGCCGGCUAGCAACAGGGUCUAAGGUGCAGGGCAGGGUACUGGGUGGUAGCUGGCUAGCAACAGUGUCUAAGGUGCAGAGCAGGGUACUGGGUGGGGCCGGCUAGCAAUAGGGUCUAAGGUGCAGAGCAGGGUACUGGGUGGGGCCGGCUAGCAACAGGGUCUAAGGUGCAGGGCAGGGUACUGGGUGGGGCCGGCUAGCAACAGGGUCUAAGGUGCAGGGCAGGGUACUGGGUGGGGCCGGCUAGCAACAGGGUCUAAGGUGCAGGGCAGGGUACUGGGUGGGGCCGGCUAGCAACAGGGUCUAAGGUGCAGGGCAGGGUACUGGGUGGGGCCGGCUAGCAACAGGGUCUAAGGUGCAGGGCAGGGUACUGGGUGGGGCCGGCUAGCAACAGGGUCUAAGGUGCAGAGCAGGGUACUGGGUGGGGCCGGCUAGCAACAGGGUCUAAGGUGCAGAGCAGGGUACUGGGUGGGGCCGGCUAGCAACAGGGUCUAAGGUGCAGGGCAGGGUACCGGGUGGGGCCGGCUAGCAACAGGGUCUAAGGUGCAGGGCAGGGUACUGGGUGGGGCCGGCUAGCAACAGGGUCUAAGGUGCAGGGCAGGGUACUGGGUGGGGCCGGCUAGCAACAGGGUCUAAGGUGCAGAGCAGGGUACUGGGUGGGGCCGGCUAGCAACAGGGUCUAAGGUGCAGGGCAGGGUACCGGGUGGGGCCGGCUAGCAACAGGGUCUAAGGUGCAGGGCAGGGUACCGGG